GAUGAACGCUGGCGGCGUGCCUAAUACAUGCAAGUCGAGCGAACAGACGAGAAGCUUGCUCCUCUGAUGUUAGCGGCGGACGGGUGAGUAACACGUGGAUAACCUACCUAUAAGACUGGGAUAACUUCGGGAAACCGGAGCUAAUACCGGAUAAUAUAUUGAACCGCAUGGUUCAAAAGUGAAAGACGGUCUUGCUGUCACUUAUAGAUGGAUCCGCGCUGCAUUAGCUAGUUGGUAAGGUAACGGCUUACCAAGGCAACGAUGCAUAGCCGACCUGAGAGGGUGAUCGGCCACACUGGAACUGAGACACGGUCCAGACUCCUACGGGAGGCAGCAGUAGGGAAUCUUCCGCAAAGGGCGAAAGCCUGACGGAGCAACGCCGCGUGAGUGAUGAAGGUCUUCGGAUCGUAAAACUCUGUUAUUAGGGAAGAACAAAUGUGUAAGUAACUAUGCACGUCUUGACGGUACCUAAUCAGAAAGCCACGGCUAACUACGUG
rnacentral:rRNA from 1 species